GGAUGAACGCUGGCGGCGUGCUUAACACAUGCCAGUCGAACGAACCUUCGGGUUAGUGGCGGACGGGUGAGUAACGCGUGGGAACCUGCCCUCAGGAGGGGGAUAACGGUUGGAAACGGCCGCUAAUACCCCAUAUGCCGAGAGGUGAAAUGAAUUUCGCCUGAGGAUGGGCCCGCGUCUGAUUAGCUAGUUGGUGGGGUAAGAGCCUACCAAGGCGACGAUCAGUAGCUGGUCUGAGAGGAUGAUCAGCCACACUGGGACUGAGACACGGCCCAGACUCCUACGGGAGGCAGCAGUGGGGAAUUUUCCGCAAUGGGCGAAAGCCUGACGGAGCAACGCCGCGUGAGGGAUGAAGGCCUCUGGGCUGUAAACCUCUUUUCUCAAGGAAGAAGACCUGACGGUACUUGAGGAAUAAGCCACGGCUAAUUCCGUGCCAGCAGCCGCGGUAAUACGGGAGUGGCAAGCGUUAUCCGGAAUUAUUGGGCGUAAAGCGUCCGCAGGUGGCCCUGUAAGUCUGUCGUUAAAGCGUGGAGCUUAACUCCAUUUAAGCGAUGGAAACUACAGGGCUAGAGUGUGGUAGGGGCAGAGGGAAUUCCCGGUGUAGCGGUGAAAUGCGUAGAUAUCGGGAAGAACACCAGUGGCGAAGGCGCUCUGCUGGGCCAUCACUGACACUCAUGGACGAAAGCCAGGGGAGCGAAAGGGAUUAGAUACCCCUGUAGUCCUGGCCGUAAACGAUGAACACUAGGUGUCGGGGGAAUCGACCCCCUCGGUGUCGUAGCCAACGCGUUAAGUGUUCCGCCUGGGGAGUACGCACGCAAGUGUGAAACUCAAAGGAAUUGACGGGGGCCCGCACAAGCGGUGGAGUAUGUGGUUUAAUUCGAUGCAACGCGAAGAACCUUACCAGGGUUUGACAUCCUGCGAAUCCCUUGGAAACGAGGGAGUGCCUUCGGGAGCGCAGAGACAGGUGGUGCAUGGCUGUCGUCAGCUCGUGUCGUGAGAUGUUGGGUUAAGUCCCGCAACGAGCGCAACCCACGUCGUUAGUUGCCAGCAUUCAGUUGGGCACUCUAGCGAGACCGCCGGUGAUAAACCGGAGGAAGGUGUGGAUGACGUCAAGUCAUCGUGCCCCUUACAUCCUGGGCUACACACGUACUACAAUGCUACGGACAAAGGGCAGCGAUCCCGCGAGGGCUAGCAAAUCCCAUAAACCGUGGCUCAGUUCAGAUCGUAGGCUGCAACUCGCCUACGUGAAGGAGGAAUCGCUAGUAAUCGCAGGUCAGCAUACUGCGGUGAAUACGUUCCCGGGCCUUGUACACACCGCCCGUCACACCAUGGAAGUUGGCCACGCCCGAAGUCGUUACUCCAACCCUUGUGGAGGAGGACGCCGAAGGUGGGGCUGAUGACUGGGGUGAAGUCG
rnacentral:rRNA from 1 species